rnacentral:rRNA from 1 species
AGCGUAGGCGGACAUUUAAGUCAGAGGUGAAAUCCCGGAGCUUAACUUCGGAACUGCCUUUGAUACUGGGUGUCUUGAGUGUGAGAGAGGUAUGUGGAACUCCGAGUGUAGAGGUGAAAUUCGUAGAUAUUCGGAAGAACACCAGUGGCGAAGGCGACAUACUGGCUCAUUACUGACGCUGAGGCUCGAAAGCGUGGGGAGCAAACA